rnacentral:rRNA from 1 species
CAAUAGCGUAUAUUAAAGCUGUUGCGGUUAAAAAGCUCGUAGUUGGAUUUCUGGUCGGAAGCUCCUGUCCUCUGAUGAGCGUACAAGUGCGUCCUACCAUCCUUCUGUUAACCUUUAAGGCUUUCGCGGCUUUCUAGGGGCUCAGAUAUUUUACCUUGAGAAAAUUAGAGUGUUUCAGGCAGGCUAGCGCCGGAAUACAUUAGCAUGGAAUAAUGGAAUAGGACUUUUGCCUCUUCUGUUGGUCAUGAGGCUCGAGUAAUGAUUAAUAGGGAUAGUUGGGGGCAUUAGUACUUAACUGUCAGAGGUGAAAUUCUCGGAUUUGUUAAAGACUAACUUAUGCGAAAGCAUUUGCCAAGGAUGUUUUCAUUAA